AUGCUACCACGCCGACUCGCCCCUUUCCUCCCGAAGUCGCGCCUCCUCUUCCGCUCCCUAAACCCUAGCCUCGCCAUGUCUCCGUCGGACGCCGCCGCCGCCCACCUGACCACGGCCCCCGACCCCGACGAGGACAUAUGCCCCAGCCCCGCUGCCCCCGCUGCCCCCGAGGAGAUCGCACCGCCCGUGCCCACGCCCCUGCCUCCGCCGGCGUCCGCGGAGGAGAGGGUGGAGCGCGCGUGGGCGCACUGGAGGCGGCUGGGGUCCCCGAGGCUGGUGGUGGCGCCCAUGGUGGACAACUCGGAGCUACCCUUCCGCAUGCUGUGCCGCCGCUACGGCGCCGACGCCGCCUACACGCCCAUGCUCCACUCCCGCAUCUUCUCCGAGAACGAGAAGCACAGGGACAUGGAGUUCACUACCUGCAAGGAGGACCGCCCACUUUUUGUUCAGUUUUGUGCAAAUGAUCCUGACAUUUUGUUACAAGCUGCAAAGCUGGUUGAAGCACACUGCGACUAUGUUGAUUUGAAUUUUGGAUGUCCACAGCGCAUUGCUAAACGGGGAUACUAUGGGGCAUUUCUCAUGGACAACCUUCCACUCGUUAAAUCGCUUGUGCAAAAUCUGUCAGAGAACCUUUGUGUUCCAGUCUCUUGCAAGAUCCGCAUAUUUCCGCGACUGGAAGACACACUUGCGUAUGCAAAGAUGCUUGAAGAAGCCGGUGCUUCUCUUGUGGCAGUGCAUGGGCGUACAAGAGAUGAAAAAGAUGGGAAGAAAUUUCGAGCCGACUGGGAUGCCAUCAAAGCUGUGAAAGAUGCCCUGAGGAUACCUGUACUUGCAAAUGGAAACAUUCGCCAUAUGGAGGAUGUGAAGAGCUGUCUGCAACACACUGGAGCUGAUGGCGUGCUUUCAGCUGAACCUCUUUUGGAAAAUCCAGCAUUAUUUGCUGGUUUCGGUACAAAGGAGUGGAAAGAAGAUGGCAAUGAAGACGGAGAUGGUGGUUUAGACCCGGCUGAUCUUGCCAUUGAGUAUUUGAAACUGUGCGAGCAAUACCCAGUGCCAUGGAGAAUGAUUCGAUCCCAUCUCCACAAGUUGCUGGGAAGCUGUUUUAGAGUGCAUCCACAAGUGAGGGAGGAAUUCAAUGCACAGACCAAGCUCACUUUUGAGGGGUUGCAUGAUAUGGUAAAGAAGCUGAAAGAACUCGGCGGUGGAAUACCUCUUUACAGAGACCAGACCUCUUUACAGUCACAAAUCGGUUCAAACGGGCUAGCUGCAAGCAAUGCGUGA
rnacentral:rRNA from 1 species